rnacentral:misc_RNA from 1 species
GGAAGUAAAGUCGUAACAAGGUUUCCGUAGGUGAACCUGCGGAAGGAUCAUUAUUGUAUAACCGAGGUGCGAGGGCUGUCGCUGACCCGAAAGGUCGUGCACGUCCGAGUGCCCUCACACACAUCCAUCUCACCCCUAUGUGCUCCACCGCGUGGGUCCCCCUUUGGCUUGUUCGGAGGGGGGCUUACGUUUUCACACAAACUUUGUAUGCAGUGUAGAAUGUAUUUUUUGUUUUUGCGAUCACGCAAUCAAUACAACUUUCAACAACGGAUCUCUUGGCUCUC